rnacentral:misc_RNA from 1 species
UUUUUUUUUUUGUACUUGCAACUAGUCAUUGUCAUUGAUUAUUUGAAGAAUAACAAAGGAAAAAGUAGCCCUCCCUGUUAGGAAAACUGUCAAUCUCUUAACCUACCAAAUUUGACUUGUCAAAGAGAAAGGAUAGACAGUCGGCACUCAGAACACAAGAAAGAUAAGGAUCAAUAUCAAUGGAUAUACAAAGAAAAAAAAUUCCAAAACAGCACACUCUCCAAUCUAAACCACAAGGAGUUGAAAUGAAUUGAAGAGUUUAACUAACAAAGAAAGACCUACCAUCUGCCUAUCAUAACAUUCUCAAGAUAAGAAAAUUUCCAAGAUACAAAGUGUACAUCACAAGGAGACAAAUUUGAAGAGCAAAGCUUUUAUAAAUUAGAAAAAGAGGUAUCUCCAUUCCAAACAUAUUCCCAAACGCAAAUGCGAGACUCAUCUCUAACUUUAUAUCUGAUCAAUGGGGAAAAAGAAUAACUCAUUCAUGAAAUUAACUUCCAAGGGUUUUAUGAAUAUUUAUUCCUAGUAUGGCAUCCUACUAGAAGAGGAAAGAGAGAGAGAGAGAGAG